rnacentral:lncRNA from 1 species
AUGACAUCAGUCAUACCAGUGAAGGACAAGAAACAUCUGGAGGUCAAACUAGGGGAGCUGCCAAGCUGGAUCUUGAUGCAGGAUCGAGUCAUUGCCGCAGGGAUUCAAAGAGGUUACUACUGGUACUACAACAAAUACAUCAACGUGAAGAAGGGGAGCAUCUCGGGGCUGACCAUGGUGCUGGCAGGCUACAUGCUCUUCCGAUACUGCCUUUCCUACAAGGAGCUCAAGCACAAGCGGCUAUGCAGGUACCACUGA